rnacentral:rRNA from 1 species
GAUGAACGCUAGCGCCAGGCUUAAUACAUGCAAGUCGUGGGGCAGCAGGGUUGUAGCAAUACAAUCGCUGGCGACCGGCAAACGGGUGCGUAACACGUACGCAACCUUCCCGUUACUGUGGCAUAGCCCAGGGAAACUUGGAUUAAUACCACAUAUUAUAUUGAGGGGGCAUCCCUUUGAUAUCAAAGCUUCGGCGGUAACGGAUGGGCGUGCGGUUGAUUAGGUAGUUGGCGGGGUAACGGCCCACCAAGCCUACGAUCAAUAGCUGAUGUGAGAGCAUGAUCAGCCACACGGGCACUGAGACACGGGCCCGACUCCUACGGGAGGCAGCAGUAAGGAAUAUUGGGCAAUGGACGAAAGUCUGACCCAGCCAUGCCGCGUGAAGGAUUAGGGUCCUCUGGAUUGUAAACUUCUUUUCUCUGGGGCGAAAACCAGCUAUUCUUAGCUAUUUGACAGUACCAGAGGAAUAAGCACCGGCUAACUCCGUGCCAGCAGCCGCAGUAAGAC